UCUAAAAAUUCAAACUUUUACUAGAAAUUUAACACUACUUUGAUUUUAUAAUUAGAGUUUAAUUCAAAGCGGAAUCCUCGACGAUGAAAGUUCGUUUCCACAAUAAAGAGCUAAGAAGCUCAACUUCCGCGGUGAUAUGAAUACUUUACUGCUUGCUUAGCGAAAAAUACAAGUUAAAAAUUAUUAUUAUUGGUGAUUAAAUGAAACUUCUAAAUUCAUACUAUAUUAACUUUAUUCUUAAUCUCUCAACAUAUCUUGUUAAUACUUUCGAGGUAGAACAGUAUCUGUUUUCUCCAAGACCGUACGGUCCCAUCCUGGGGGCCUUUGCCCCCCCCCCCCCACGAGUGCCAGGAAGGAAUACAUAUAUACGCCUAUUUAUGUCUGAUUCGCUAAAAAGUGGAAAAACCCAAAAAGGCGGAAAAAGAGGGUGUUUUAGAUUUUUACUAACUCGUCUAUGCAGUAGGGAUUACGAAACAAUAGUGUCCCCUUUUUUAUUACCCAGGCAAAAAGGGCUCUUAGGUUUUUAUGGUAACCAGAUGAGCGAUUUACUCGAGUUUCUUUAAGAAGCAAUAAAACUAUAAAAUAAGAAUUUCUAAAACGUGACAAAUAAGUAAAACAUGUACUUUAAUUUAACGUUAUAUUCUAAAAAGUCCAAAAAUAUUUAUUGUGAGGGAUUAAGUUUCGUCACCUCUACUGCAUGCUUUAUUGUAUUCAAUUUUAUGAUUCGUUCCACUCAGGAUUUUAUCGUGAGAAAAUAUUUGGUCGAUUUGCCCAUGUUGCUUGCCAAUAAUUUGAAUUAUAUAGAAAUCUCAAUAAUUAUAAUGUGUUGGUUGCGUUAAUUUAUGUUUAAUUAUUUGAAUUAAACCGCGCAUUAAGUGCUGCCUCUAUUGGGAAAGGAGCGUAUCAUGCACAUACGUCACACUUCCCUCCUUAAUAAAAAGGCAUUCUUUUAUAAGAUGUCUUUUUAUAAUUAAAGUAAUUAACAACACGUAGAUUAAACGAAAUAUAGUUACAAUUUCGUAUGUGUAAUGGAAAAUAUAGUGUUCACAUAAAACAUUCAUCCUGUUGUGAAAUUUAAGAGUUUAUUUGCAAUUCAUAAAUAUCCGUAUAUACGUCGACAUAUAUAGUUAUGGUUCAAUAAUAUAUGUAUUUCAACAAGUUCUGCAAAGAUACUCGACGUUUUUUUUUACCUGCUCUGACUCUUCGAGCAAAAAGGAUAAGUAGAAUUUAAAAUUUCUUUAAAUAUAGAGAUCUUUAAACUUAAAUAACUUUUCUAUUUCUCUGAGGUAUCCUAAGGAAAAGUGUCAAAAUUUAACAUUGUCGUAUAUUUAUUAAUCAAAUAUAUAUGCAAAUUUUGUUUAUAUUCAUACUGCAUAAAAUUUUCUAUCGCUUGAUUAAUAGUACUAAAAAUAAACAAUUACAACCGUAUAGCGUACACGUGUUUCUAUCUAUUACUUUGCGAUGAGGACAUGAACACGCUUUACUACAAAAUUUGUCGGAGAUGCUUUCAAUAAUUAAUUUCUUUCUUUCAGGCUUAUGAUACUUAAUCGCAUAACUGAUUUUACUUCUUUACAGCAAAAAAUCGAUCGUGGAAUUGGACAGAAAAGGCAUACUUAACAUGCCAUCACAGUCUACAGAACAUCACUCAAAAUAUUUUGAAAAGAAGAAGAAACUUUAUUUAUUUUAAAAUGUACUUCACCGAUAGUUGAUAGGCCUUGUUUAAUAAUAAGAAAUAGAUCAUAUUUUAUUUCUGGAUUUAUUGAAGUUUUUCUUCAUUUAAACUAGAUUACUUAACAAAAUUUAAUUCAUCUCGUGUAUUAACAAUACUGUAAAACAACGUUAUAGGGUACUCGCAGCUCAAACGUACUUUCUUGAAUUCAACUUAUUUUUGGCUUAAAAAUAAGACAGUAGUCGGUCCUAAAAUCAAUUUACCAAUCUGAAAUUUAGUUAAUAUUUAGAAUAGUAUAAGUUGGUUUAUUUAAAAUCAAGCUCAAACAAGACUCAAUUUUCACAGUGAAGGAAUUGAAUUUAACCGUAUUCAGGAUCAGCACUAACAAUAGUGACACUAAAAGAAAGUUGUUUUCAACGUUUCGAAGGGUAUGAUAACCUGUCUAAUUGGUGCAUCGCAUUGCACAAGUCCGUCGUCGUCGCCCGUUUUGUCAUCUUUAUUUUCGUCCGAUUUCUUUUAUGACAAUCUUUUGACAUUCGCGUUUUUCAAUGAUUACGAGCAAUGUGCCCCUUUUACCGCAGUAAAAGCAACUAUCAUCAUUAUCGUCGGGUUUUAUUUAUUUUCAUUUCUUUCGAUUUCUUGGAAGGUUUCGCGGCAAAUUUUCUUACGCACGUGCUCAUUGUUAUAGGGAACAAAUAGAAUAUUUCAUUUUCUUUGAUAUUUAUUCUCGGGUGAUUUUUCGCGUUUUCUUGAGGUUCAUCGAUUUUUCUAUUAAAUCCCUUUUCGAACUUGACUUAUUAUUUUUUUUUUUUUCGCAAAGUUGUUUCCUAAAGGGGAAACUUCUCUGUUAAAAUAAUUAUUCAACUCACUUUAACAUUAAUUUUUUAUUAAAGCCCAUUAUAAAACUAUCGCGUGCUAUUUUCCGGAAUGUUUUAAAAAAAUCGGGAGUCCUCGUUUUCGCGCUAUAUUCAUCCUCAAUCAAUUUUAUUAACCUUUGAGUAAUGCUGUAUUUCUCAGUGACCUACCUAAUUUUUCUAGUUUUAUAAAUUUUUCUUUUAUUGGUCUUUUAUUAACAAAAAUAGCUUUUUUGGAUUUUCACUAUUAUAUAAUCAUAACAAGUGAAAAAUAGAUAAACAAUUGCUGAGAGUUAACAACGAAAUUAUUUUAAAUAAAAAUCAUUUGAGAACGAAUACUACGUCAAUUGAAA